rnacentral:rRNA from 1 species
GAUUUCUGACGAUUUGAUUUCAGGCCGGCCACGGUUUCGUGUGUUAGUGCUUGAAAUCUUCGUCAUCCUUCCAAUGGCUAUUCAUCCUUCUUCAUUGAGGUGGUGAGUGGUAUUGGAUCUUUUACUUUGAAAAAAUUAGAGUGUUUCAAGCAGGCUUUAUGCUAUGAAUACAUUAGCAUGGAAUAAUAAUUUAGGACUUCGGUUCUAUUUUGUUGGUUUCUAGGACUGAAGUAAUGAUUGAUAGGGACAGUUGGGGGUGCUAGUAUUCAGUGCGAAGAGGUGAAAUUCUUGGAUCCACUGAAGACUAACUUAUGCGAAAGCAUU